CGCUUUCACUCCUACGGGAGGCAGCAGUGGGAAUAUUGCACAAUGGGCGCAAGCCUGAUGCAGCCAUGCCGCGUGUAUGAAGAAGGCCUUCGGGUUGUAAAGUACUUUCAGCAGUGAGGAAGGUGGUGUCGUUAAUAGCGGUAUCAUUUGACGUUAGCUGCAGAAGAAGCACCGGCUAACUCCGUGCCAGCAGCCGCGGUAAUACGGAGGGUGCGAGCGUUAAUCGGAAUUACUGGGCGUAAAGCGCAUGCAGGUGGUUUGUUAAGUCAGAUGUGAAAGCCCGGGGCUCAACCUCGGAAUUGCAUUUGAAACUGGCAGACUAGAGUACUGUAGAGGGGGUAGAAUUUCAGGUGUAGCGGUGAAAAUGCGUAGAGAUCUGAAGGAAUACCGGUGGCGAAGGCGGCCCCCUGGACAGAUACUGACACUCAGAUGCGAAAGCGUGGGGAGCAAACAGGAUUAGAUACCCUGGUAG
rnacentral:rRNA from 1 species